rnacentral:rRNA from 1 species
UACGUAGGGUGCGAGCGUUAAUCGGAAUUACUGGGCGUAAAGCGUGCGCAGGCGGUUUUGUAAGCCAGAUGUGAAAUCCCCGGGCUUAACCUGGGAAUGGCAUUUGGGACUGCAAGGCUGGAGUGCGGCAGAGGAGACUGGAAUUCCUGGUGUAGCAGUGAAAUGCGUAGAUAUCAGGAGGAAUACCGAUGGCGAAGGCAGGUCUCUGGGCCUUGCCUGACGCUGAGGCGCGAAAGCUAGGGGAGCGAACAGG